GCUUGAGCUGAACUGGACAGCACAGCACAUUGAUCUCCAGCAGAGCUUGAAGACUGCAUGGAGAUGGCAAAAGUCGCAUAGGAAUGGAUAUGGAUCACCACUGGUGAUGUCUUCUUGAAACAUUGAGGGCAGUUUCAUAGCAGAAAUUUAACUAGACCUCUUGCAGCCCCUACUCUGAGCUGUGCUUCUAUCAUAUUAGAAGAUAAGGGGUCUCAAAGAAAAUUUUUUUCCCUAUCUUAAUAUAUAAUGGUAGGAGUAGCAAAUUCAUUAUGUGUAUUGAACUGAUAAUAGAUUAAUAAUAUGAUUGCUGAUAAUAGAUUAAUAAUAUGAUUG
rnacentral:misc_RNA from 1 species